AACGAACGCUGGCGGCAUGCCUAACACAUGCAAGUCGAACGAGACCUUCGGGUCUAGUGGCGCACGGGUGCGUAACGCGUGGGAACCUGCCCUUAGGUUCGGAAUAACUCCCCGAAAGGGGUGCUAAUACCGGAUAAUGUCUUCGGACCAAAGAUUUAUCGCCUUUGGAUGGGCCCGCGUUGGAUUAGCUAGUUGGUAGUGUAAAAGCCUACCAAGGCGACGAUCCAUAGCUGGUCUGAGAGGAUGAUCAGCCACACUGGGACUGAGACACGGCCCAGACUCCUACGGGAGGCAGCAGUGGGGGAUAUUGGACAAUGGGCGAAAGCCUGAUCCAGCAAUGCCGCGUGAGUGAUGAAGGCCUUAGGGUUGUAAAGCUCUUUUACCCGGGAUGAUAAUGACAGUACCGGGAGAAUAAGCUCCGGCUAACUCCGUG
rnacentral:rRNA from 1 species